UCUCUCUUCCAGAGCUGAAGGGUUCCUGCAACCUGGAGCUUCCGUACUGAAAUGACAACCCUGUGGACCCCAAGGGAAAGAAGAAAGGAAGGGGUCACUGAGAGGGGUAUUGAUUUUGGCCACAUCAAUGUCAUAGAGUUUCUUCACGGCCUGUUUGAUCUGGCCUUGACAUCCACAAUGAACACCAGCGUGUUGACUGACUCAGUGGUCAGUGGGAAUUUGAUGACAGCAUAGUGGUCAAGCUCGUUUCUCCUGAGUGCACCCUUUCCAGGAUAUUUUGGCUGCCUCCGGAGCCUCAGUCUUGGGCCGGCGGAAGGUCUGAUUCUGUAGGUUCAGGCUGCUGCCAGGAGAGAGGAAUGUCUACAACACUCACUAUUCCUGGAAUCUGAGCUGUCCGUGCUGAGAUUGCACAGGUCCCGUGCGUGCUGCCACUGUCUCUGUUGAGUUCCUACGUACAUCAGUCCUGCUGUGUCCGGAGAACACUGUUUUCUUGGGAUCUUCCACUGCCUCUUCUGCUCACUUCCCUGAGCCCAUGAACACUUCUUAAACAGCACAUCCAAGCAAAGAGAUGGACAAGAAAGAAUCUGACCCAGAGUUUAAAGCUGGCAAAGAGGACAGACAAAAUAAAGAUAAACACAGGCUCAAGGCUAGGCCCAUGAUGGGCUACAUCCCUGACCCUCACAGUUUGAAAGAUUCUAAAUUUUAUUACUGGACAAACACCCUAAUGUAGACAUGAACAAGUCUCCAGAUUAAAAAUGUUGAACUCCAUGUAGGACGGCUCCAUGACCACAAUGAGUAUAAACUGCAGUCUUGCCAUUG